rnacentral:rRNA from 1 species
ACUCCUACGGGAGGCAGCAGUGGGGAAUAUUGCACAAUGGGCGCAAGCCUGAUGCAGCCAUGCCGCGUGUGUGAAGAAGGCCUUCGGGUUGUAAAGCACUUUCAGCGGGGAGGAAGGCGAUAAGGUUAAUAACCUUGUCGAUUGACGUACC